GUCACGAUUACUACGCCUGGCCUGUAAGCCAUUUGUUGGCACUUCAGCUGGGCUGGAGCUACGAUCACAUUUUAGGUGCUUCCAGGCUCAUGGAAUGGAGGUGACGAAUACAACGCCUGUCCUGUGGGUCAUUUGUUGGCACUUCGGCUUAGCUGCAGCUACGAUCCUAUUUCAGUGUACCUCGGAAACGUUCCUUCCUGCUACCCACAGCCGUCUACCACCCCACACGUGUGUAAAGUACUGGUUGCAUUUGGAGCACUCAAGCACGGACCCAGAGACAGAGGCAAUCCUUGCAGCUACCAGUGAUAUAAGUGCUGCGAUUUGUGUACAUGUACAUUACUAUCUGCUUUGGAAGAGUACCAAGAUUUGCUGGUAUGUGACUGUGCAAUAAGGGGAAGUGCUCACAAUGUCUGCUGACUUGUCGACAUGUUUGGAAGUCAGUGUUUGCCCGGUAUGUUCAUAGAAAUAA